AUGGAGAAGACAUGCAAGGUUCAUGAUCCUAAAUAUGUGGCAGUAGAUGAUGAUAUACCUGAAGAUGAAGAUGUACUAGAUCCAUCUAUAUCGACAAACAAAAGAAAGAAAGAUGAUGAUGCAGGUGAUGCUGCAGAUAAUGAAGUCCUCAUCAACCUUAUAAGGAAAAAGGCUAGAACAACACCAGAAAAGCCCAACACAUGGACCAAGAAGAAGACAAAUGUGAAGAUAGCUACAACACAAGAGAAGACCAAGAACAAGACGCCUCUAACGAAAGCUCCAGCACAAGAGAAAUCCAAGAAAAAGACCCCAGUGAAGAAGACUACAUCGACAACGAAGAAAACAAAAAAGAAUGUUCCAUUUGCACCUGUGCUACCUCCGCCACCAUCGCCUCCAGUACUGCAGCCUCCAUCUGGUGCAAAACGAAGCCUCCUCUAUUGGCUUGGUGGCUGAUUCAAUCAUGUUUGUGAAACUAUGUAGCUUGUUGCUUUUGGUACUUCUUCCGCAUUCCAACAACAUGUUUAAAGUCUUAUCUGAACUUAUUAAAUUGUGCUUGUGAGACUAUCUAUGAUUUUGUUUCAGUUCUGAUUGCUAAUUUGUGACAAAUUGAGGGGAAAUGCUGCUGAAUUUUUCUGUAUUUGUUGUUGAAGUUUC